UACGGGGGGGGCAAGCGUUGUUCGGAAUUACUGGGCGUAAAGGGCUCGUAGGUGGCCAACUAAGUCAGACGUGAAAUCCCCCGGCUUAACCGGGGAACUGCGUCCGAUACUGGCAGGCUUGAAUCCGGGAGAGGGAUGUGGAAUUCCAGGUGUAGCGGUGAAAUGCGUAGAUAUCUGGAGGAACACCGGUGGCGAAGGCGGCAUCCUGGACCGGCAUUGACGCUGAGGCGCGAAAGCCAGGGGAGCAAACGGG
rnacentral:rRNA from 1 species